UACGGAGGGUGCAAGCGUUAUCCGGAUUUACUGGGUUUAAAGGGUGCGCAGGCGGAUUUUUAAGUCAGUGGUGAAAGCUUGGAGCUCAACUCCGAAAUUGCCAUUGAUACUGGAAAUCUUGAGUACAGUUGAGGUAGGCGGAAUGAGUCAUGUAGCGGUGAAAUGCUUAGAUAUGACUCAGAACACCGAUUGCGUAGGCAGCUUACUAAACUGUAACUGACGCUCAGGCACGAAAGCGUGGGUAGCGAACAGG
rnacentral:misc_RNA from 1 species